rnacentral:lncRNA from 1 species
AGGAGUUGGUACUCAGCAGACAGGCUCUGGAAGAGCAGCAGUCACGUGGCCCACACUCAUCCAGCAGAGCAGACCAGGGGCCCAAAGCUGGACAGGACACAGAGCCCGGAGAGGUAAUAGAGGCUGAGCCCAGUCCUGGAGUGGGGGAGAAGGAACAGUUAAGACAGAGGCUUGAACGUCUGCAGCAAGCGGUGGCAGAGCUGGAAGUUGACCGGAGCAAGCUGCAGUGCCACAAUGCGCAGCUGCGGACCACCUUGGAGCAGGUGGAGCGAGAGCGGAGGAAGCUGAAGAGGGAUUCUUUGCGUGCAUCACGGGCAGGGUCGCUGGAGGCCAGAGAAACAAUGAAUUCAUCCCCAACACAGCAGGUUUACCUGUUUUUCUUCCUGCCCUUACUUGCCUUAACUCCACCCUCUGUAGCGCAUACCCCAGCACUCUUCUGUAUAGAGACAGCCACUCUAGCUAAUCCAGAGCCCUCCUGGCUUGUCUGCCCUAGUCUGCCCUUGUUCAGAAGGAUUCCUACAUAGGUAAGUGUGUUCUCAGGGAUAGUGGGCCUGCGUUCUUAGUUCAGAUCCACUCACUCCCAGACAAGUGUCUCAGGUUCACCUUGGGUGAACCAGAGUCCCUGGUGUCCAGGAGUUGUGUCAUGCUUACCAGCUCUUGACAUGCCCAGGAGUGGGAUCACAGCUUUGCAGCUCGCUUAGAG